UGUAGCAUCUCCAGACCUGGGACAUUAAACGUUGUUUAAAUCAUUUUCAUUUUGCCAUACUAUAUGAUGUUCCUUCGCUACAAAACAUUCCAAAAUUCACGUUUCAUUACUGACAUUACACAUCCCUCUCAGGGACGAGACUGGACAGGGCUGAAAGAUUCGCCACUUGUACUUGUUUUCCUUGUACUCUUUAUGCGAUCAUGAGAAGAAUGAAGAACCCAAAGCCUGCUGACAACAGAUGUAUUGAAGAUAUACCCACUGGAGAGUGCCUUAGGAGGGUUCUGGUCAAUGGGCAGCAUCUGGUUCAUCGUCAUGGAAGUGACCACGUUAUGGCUAGGAGGCAGCAGUUCUGUCACUGGCCCUGCAAGUGUGGGCAAAUGCCUCAGUGUACACCAGGAGUGAGUUGUGUGCUUGAUGGGUGUGGCUGCUGCAAGAGUUGUGCUCAGCAAAUUGGAGAUCCCUGCAACGAAAGGGACAUCUGUGAUAUUCACAAGGGAAUGUACUGUGACUUCUCAGCUGACCAUCCAAGAUAUGAAAUUGGAGUAUGUGCCUACUUAAUGGCAGUUGGCUGUGAUCUUAACGGGGCCCACUAUGAGAACGGAGAAGCGUUCCAGCCGAGCCCCCUUUACAAGUGCACAUGCAUUGCAGGCGCCAUUGGCUGUACUCCUGCAUUCUUGCAGAAGCCUGCAGGUCUUUUGGACCCCACCCCGCUGAUGGGAAACCUGCCAGCAAGCCUUCAUAGCAGCAAGAUUUCAAAGAAACAUGCACAGGAUACAAUCUACAUGUCAGCUUACAGGGAUCCUCCUUUGGCCUGGAAAAAAAACUGUCUGAUCCAAACUACAUUCUGGAGCCCCUGUUCCAAGUCCUGUGGCUUGGGCAUCUCUGUGCGUGUCAACAAUGACAACCACAAAUGUGAGAUGAGGAAGUACAUGCGUCUGUGUCUGCUGCGCCCCUGUAAGAACAAUGUAAUCAACAGCACUCAGGUGCCAAAAGGAAAAACAUGCCAACCCCAGUUCCAGGCAAAAAGGGGAGAAAGGUUUGUGCUCUCAGGCUGUACAAGUACCAAAAGGUUCAAACCCACAUACUGUGGUUUCUGUGCUGACAAGCGCUGCUGUUUCCCCAACAAGUCAAGAAUGAUCAUGAUCAACUUCAAAUGCACAGGAGGCGCUAAGAUAGAAUGGAAGAUGCAGUGGAUAACAUCUUGUGUUUGUCAAAGGAAAUGCAAUGAUUCAUCCGACAUGUUUUCAGACCUACGUUUAAUGUAACCAAUGCAGCCUUCAAGUUAGAGAUGACAGUAUAGCGCACGCUGGUGUAAUGGACAUUGGCUCGACUCGCCUAUUCUGUUUUGCAAACUCCACUCCACAAUACCCCAUUAUUCCUUGGAGGGGACCCAACAUACUGGCAAGAUGUCUGACUAAAAUCAAAUGGACAUUUAACCAGAUAAAGUUAGUUCUUUCCCCCUCAUAAAAUCUAAAAAGAACAAGGACUUCACUGUGGAGACAUGCAGAAUGGCCCAGAAGUUCUGCAUGUCUCCUCAUGACGCCCACAGCACGACUGGGGGGAAAGGAAGUGAUCGAUGACACUUUGAACAAUGGAACAGUGCUUCUCUUAUAGGCCCUCAAAAUGCCUGUCAGCAGAUUCACAAAUAACAGACAUCCGGUGGGAACAAGGAGUCACUCCUCAUUAAUGAAACACGAUCACCCCCCGGUGGUGACUGAAAACACUGUAAGAUGGACCUCCUUUAGUGAUCCUACAUUAUGUGUCAAGAGUGAACAAAAACAUUUAAGGAAAUACCAUGUCUUGUACAGCCAUGCAUGAUUACCCGGAAGGUGCACCUUGGGUUCUGUGUCAUUGAAGUGUUGAUUCUGCAGUUAUGGCAAUAAGUCUGCUCACAAGGACUUUGUUUCAAGCCAAAAGUAGGAAAUGACUGGGUUGAGCAAUAUAAUGCCAGAACAAGAUUGAAACAAGCUCGUUUUGUAUACUUAAUGUCUGCUUGAGACAGUUUCAAAGUUGGGAAUCGUUUUGAAAAUGUGUGGAGUUCACCCGUGAUUAGGGCGUGACCCGUGUAUUUGAGAACGAGGCGUGAUUUCUUUCGCCUGCGAAGAUAUGAAGGCAGACUCUCCACUUACUGCUCUUGCUUUAUUGAUUCUGCUUCUGCGCUAGCCUCCCUGAUCCUCUCGGCUCCAGCCAUUCCUUCCCCCCACCCCCUUUUUCCCUUGUGGUCGCUACACGGCUACCCGGACACAGAGAAAGACUCGAUCCGGCGCCAAGUCUGGGGUGCUGCUUUUGUUUUCCCAGGCUUUCUAAUUUGUCAGGCGACUAGAGGAAUCUCUAGUAUUCCCGCAAGUCACGGUCUUAACCAACCGUAAAAGCGUGGCCCGCCAACAAGUCAAAACUGCAGCAAAAGUUACGAUUGGAACUUCCCACACCGGCCUGACCAUCAACUUUAAUUUUUGUAGUCCUUUUCCGUUUUUCUUCCUUUUGUCCAUCUUCUUCCCCAUUUCAUCUGCCUUAUUUCUGUCUGAGACAACAGAGAAAAAGGGCCUCCAACUCUCUGACCACCCGAUCCACGAAUAUACAUUUUGUACCAUUGUACCACCCUUGAGGACUUGCACGCUGCCAGAACUAAGAGAAGAGCGUGCAAAAUCCUCUCGGACCCGCCACAUCCCGGUCACCGGCUCUUCCAGCUCCUUCCCUCAGCUGGGCUGGCCUUCGGCCACCCCUUUCCCCUGCCCUCUCUUUGUUCUGGCACACCUUGGGAAUGGAGACUUGGCUUCCCAGCCUAACCGUGGGCCACCGCUAGGCGAUCAGAGCAGGUAAUACCAGUUAUAUUUUGCAAAAUUUUUUCCCGGCUUCAACCAAAUCUGCCUCCUUGCUCCUGGGAAGCGGGCCGAGAGCGAUUACCACCCACCAGCAGCUACGGUCUGCUCCUUCUGUGUCACCUGCCUCGCCGUCUGUCGCAGCCACACCGCCAAGCACUUCCUCCUGCCAGAGCCUCCCCGCUUCCUGCAUGUUCCCUGCUUCGGCCAACCACCCUCACGCCUCGAACAUCUAGCCUCCGAGAUAUCAUUGAAUAAAACUAUUCUCAUUUA